UAAUACGGAGGAUCCGAGCGUUAUCCGGAUUUAUUGGGUUUAAAGGGUGCGUAGGCGGACUUAUAAGUCAGCGGUGAAAGUUUGCAGCUUAACUGUAAAAUUGCCGUUGAAACUGUUAGUCUUGAGUGUAAAUGAGGUAGGCGGAAUGUGUUGUGUAGCGGUGAAAUGCUUAGAUAUAACACAGAACACCAAUUGCGAAGGCAGCUUACUGGGAUACAACUGACGCUGAGGCACGAAAGCGUGGGGAUCAAACAGGAUUAGAUACCCUGGUAGUCCACGCAGUAAACGAUGAAUACUAGCUGUAUGCGAUAUACUGUAUGUGGCACAGCGAAAGCGUUAAGUAUUCCACCUGGGGAGUACGUUCGCAAGAAUGAAACUUAAAGGAAUUGACGG
rnacentral:rRNA from 1 species